UACGGAGGAUGCAAGCGUUAUCCGGAUUCAUUGGGUUUAAAGGGUGCGUAGGCGGGCUAUUAAGUCAGUGGUGAAAUCCUGCAGCUUAACUGCAGUACUGCCGUUGAUACUGAUAGUCUUGAGUUUGGUUAAGGUAGGCGGAAUGUGUAAUGUAGCGGUGAAAUGCUUAGAUAUUACACAGAACACCAAUUGCGUAGGCAGCUUACUGAGCCGACACUGACGCUGAGGCACGAAAGCGUGAGGAUCAAACA
rnacentral:rRNA from 1 species